rnacentral:lncRNA from 10 species
AUAGGUUUUGAAAGUGCUUCCAGAAGAAGGUGUUACCCAUUUUAGAAUGACUGAGUCAGGAGACUAAAGCAAAGGACAAGUGAAAAGGGAAUCACACUGAAGGUGGUGAUCAGUGGCAGAUUCAGGAUAUGAAGUCAGAAUUUACCGGAUUUGCCAGUGAUUGGAUGGGGGAUGUGAAGGAAAGAAUGGCAUCAAGGAUGAUUCCACGUAUUCCAGUUUGAGAAACUUGGAGGAAGGAGGUGCUAUACAGAGACAAAAGCUUAUGACUACGCUAUAUCACUCUCCAUGUGUGAUAAUUAUGAGGCUAUUGGGAAGACCCCUUCUGACCAUAGUACUUUCUCACCAGCUACCCCUAAUGCCUGGAAAUGGUAGAAAUCUGGCUAAUUAUGACAAAUGCUUUUGACUAUAGAGUAAAUUAGAUUAAAAUUUUCCACCAGAAUAUUCCUUUAAUAUUCAGUUGAAGCAAGGACAUUGAGGGAAAAUUUUAAUAGGAAAGAAAAAAGUUCCGAAUAUGUAUUUCCACAUGAAAACUGAUCUGGUUAGAGCAAAGGACUGAUAAUAAGCAUAGAAAAUCGGCCUGAAAAUGUGAAAAGGAAUUUAGAAAGGAUAAGUAGAUGAAAAGUAAUGAUAAACUUUGCCUGCUUCAUUAUUUUGCCUAUGACAGGUCAUCAUCAAUUAUGUACCCAUGGCCAUUCUGACAAACGACAGGUAAGUUUCACUAAGCACCAACCCAUCUGCAGGGUAAGAAAAAUAACUAAGUUAACUUCAAAUUAAGAAAAUAGGAAAAAGUGUCUCAGUUUUCCCAAGAAGCCUAAUAGAUGGGGCUACCACCCACCUCUUAUGGAUAGUGGGAAGUCUGUUGUAAAUCAUGACUCAGUUGCUUAUGAGCUCACUGUCUCUUUUCCCUUUAGGUGAAAGGAGGUUACUAAACACUUUCCUUGACCUGCCCAUCCUCCUGCCCUAGGACCAAGCCACAAGCAUAUUAGAAAACAGAAAACAAGCCGAGGAAAGUCUUUCUGGGUUUUUAGCAUGUGCUUCCCUCUGAAAUUAUAUUUUUCAAAUAUAAAUUUAGAAUAAGAGAAAAUAAUGGAAGUCCAUGUUUUAAUUGCAAUGUUGUCUCAAUCCAUUCCCCUACAGAAUACACUCAAGUAAUCCAUGGUAUUUCAUGGUAUUUUUUCUCACUUGAAAACAAAAUCUGCUUUCCUUUCACCUUCACUGGGUGAGUGUGAUCAACAUAACAAUAUUGG